rnacentral:rRNA from 1 species
UACGAAGGGGGCUAGCGUUGCUCGGAAUCACUGGGCGUAAAGGGUGCGUAGGCGGGUCUUUAAGUCAGGGGUGAAAUCCUGGAGCUCAACUCCAGAACUGCCUUUGAUACUGAAGAUCUUGAGUUCGGGAGAGGUGAGUGGAACUGCGAGUGUAGAGUGAAAUUCGUAGAUAUUCGCAAGAACACCAGUGGCGAAGGCGGCUCACUGGCCCGAUACUGACGCUGAGGCACGAAAGCGUGGGGAGCAAACAGG